AAAGCACCCCCUCCGUCCGAAAAUACUUGUCGUGAAAAUGUGUAAAAAUGAAUGCAUCUAAAACUAAAAUAUGAGUAGAUACAUCCAUUUUCCCGACAAGUAUUUCCGGACGGAGGGAGUACAUA
rfam:Triticum aestivum genome assembly, contig: Triticum_aestivum_CS42_TGACv1_scaffold_178049_2DS